GACGAACGCUGGCGGCGUGCUUAACACAUGCAAGUCGAGCGGUAAGGCCCUUUCGGGGGUACACGAGCGGCGAACGGGUGAGUAACACGUGGGUGACCUGCCCUCAGCUCUGGGAUAAGCCUGGGAAACCGGGUCUAAUACUGGAUAUGACUCCAUGACGCAUGUUGUGGGGUGGAAAGCCUUGUGCGGCUGAGGAUGGGCCCGCGGCCUAUCAGCUUGUUGGUGGGGGAUGGCCUACCAAGGCGACGACGGGUAGCCGGCCUGAGAGGGCGACCGGCCACACUGGGACUGAGACACGGCCCAGACUCCUACGGGAGGCAGCAGUGGGGAAUCUUGCGCAAUGCGCGAAAGCGUGACGCAGCAACGCCGC
rnacentral:rRNA from 1 species